GAUGAACGCUGGCGGCGUGCUUAACACAUGCAAGUCGAACGGGGUUAUCAUUUUUGAAGCAAUUAGCUUGCUAAGAGUGGAAAUGUUGGUAACUUAGUGGCGGACGGGUGAGUAACGCGUGGGUAACCUGCCUUACACAGGGGGAUAACACUUAGAAAUAGGUGCUAAUACCGCAUAAGCGCACAGUCCCGCAUGGGACAGUGUGAAAAACUGAGGUGGUGUAAGAUGGACCCGCGUCUGAUUAGCCAGUUGGCAGGGUAACGGCCUACCAAAGCGACGAUCAGUAGCCGGCCUGAGAGGGUGGACGGCCACAUUGGGACUGAGACACGGCCCAA
rnacentral:rRNA from 1 species